UCCCUCAUGGCGCAAUUGGCUAGCGCGUCUGACUGUUACUAAGCAACUGCUUGGGUAAUGACAUUUAUCAGGAGGUUGACAGUUCGAGCCUGUCUGAGGGAG
rfam:Thielavia terrestris NRRL 8126 chromosome 5, complete sequence.